ensembl:miRNA
CUUCUUCAUCAGUGUGGGGCCCUGGGUCGUCAGCAGCAGCUUCGCUUUGGCUCCGAUGGCUGUCUUCGGAGUUUGAAGCCCUUGCCGCCAGACGGCGGGUUGGCAUCCGUGGAUGGAAU